GGAGCAGGGAGCUACGGUGGGUGCGGUGGUGGUCGGGUGGUGGUCGAGGGGUUGAGGUGGUGUUGGAUGGUUAUGGUGGUGGUGGUUUCAGUAGUUCGAAUCACAGAAAACAAAGAGAAAUGAAAGUUGAAAAUUGAUUUUAUGUUUUUUUAUUUUUGUCUUUUGUUGGAAUUCAAUUGAAGUUGUGGCUAAUUUGUAGAGUCAAGUAGAGUGUAUGAGAAGGAAAAUUGCUUGGGGCUUAAGGGUUGAAUGUGGACUGAAUUGAGGGAAGAGAAGAAGGAAGAAAUGGUUUCCUUCUUUGCUGUGUACGUGGGGAGUAAAGAGGAGAACAAAAAUGGAAUUUUGGCUUUGUAAGGGCAUUUUCGUAAUUUCACUUACUUAGGCAAAAAUUCAGAAAAUUGGUGCUACCUUAGAAAAUUAAUUGGAAUAGAAAUGUUUAAUUAAAAAUCAAGUUUUGAAAUAAUUCUUUAUAAGAAACAUUGUUAACGAAAAAUAAAUUAAAUUUUCGAAUAAAAUAAGAACGUUUCGAAAUUAUUAGAAAUCCGAAAAUAAUUAAAAUUUAAAAAGGGCGUUAAGCUCGUAAAUAUGAAUUUGAAUUAUAAACGGAAAAAAAAAUCGUGUAGCAAUUUAAAAAUUCAAGCGAAAUAAAACUUCGUUAAUUAAAAAUAAAAUUCGAAUUUAGGAUUUAAAACAAUUUUAAGCUAAAUAAAAAUAAUUAAGCAUAAUUAAUCGAGUUUUAAAAAUUCGGGGUAUUACAAGGUGAGAUUCUUUAUUCAAUCUCAUCACAUUAAACUGUUAUGUCUCCUUCAAACAAGGGUGAAGGCACCAGAGAUGGGCAAUCUUUACCUCAAUCUUUGUCCUAACUGGUGCUUUACUGCCAACUUGAGUUAUCACAAGUCCACAAGAAUGGAAGAAUAGUUCUAGCUAGCUUGGGACUCUGAUGUGUUUACUGUAAAUAUUAUCCAUGUGGGGCGUCAGAUUAUUCACUGUAUGGUCACUCUUUGGAACACUGGUGAAAGGUUCUAUGCUUCCUUUGUUUAUGGCUUGAAGACCCCUUCAAAAAGAGUAUAUUUAUGGUCUACUCUUACUUCUCUAGCUAAUAAUGUUUCUUGGGUUAUUAUGGGUGAUUUCAAUGCAAUAGUGGACAUGGAAGAGAGGAUAGGGCCAACUGUUAGACUUUUAGACAUUCAAUCUAUGAUACAAUGUACGGUAAGCUGUAAACUUACUGAAAUAAAGACAGUAGGUAGACACUUUACCUGGACCAACAAACAAGAUGGGCCUGAUGAGUGUUUACCAGAAUUAACAGAGUAUUAGCCAAUGAGGCAUGGGAUGAUUUGUACAGUAGUGCAGAAGCAACUUUUCUUCUCGAGGGACUUUUGAUCACUGUCCCAUGAUCUUUAACAUAUAUGAGUCUAACAUACAGAAGAAAACUUUUAGGUUCUACAAUAUGUGGACCACCUCGCAUGAGUUUCUCCCUAUAGUUGAAAAGAAUUGGGAUCAAUAUGUAUAUGACUGUCAUAUGUUCAGGAUCAUCACAAAACUCAGAUGGAUCAAAUAUGAUUUGAAACAAUUGAAUAGAGUGGGGUAUAGUUAUGUUGAAUCUGACCAGCUUAUACUCCAGAAGAAGCUUGCUGAGGUGCAGGAGAGAAUGCAUGCUAACCCUCUUGACACCCAGCUUGCUUCAGAUUAGAAAGAGGUUGCUGCAACCUACAUAUCAGCUACCAUAAAUAUAUUUCCUUUCUUUAGCAUAUUGUUAAGCUUCACUAGUUAGAGCAUGGUGAUGAGAAAUCAAAGGAUUUUCAUCAAAGCAUCAAACAAAGGAGGAAGCACAAUCAAAUCCAUUCAAUCCAAACUCACACUGGUGAACGGUUUACUCUCCCACGAAUGUUCAAUAUGAAUUUAUUGACUUCUAUGGAACAUGUUUGGUACUAAGACGUCUGACAUGUCUCUAGUCAACACAACAAUAAUGGAUAGAGGGCCAAGGCUUUCUGAGGAACACAAAAGGUAACUGGUGUGCUAUUUCAGUGUUGAUGAUGUUAAAAGAAUCCUGAACUCUAUCCCUAACAACAAGGCCCCGGGGAUAGAUGGCUUCAACAAUCACUUCUUCAAAGCUUCCUUAGAUGUUUUGAAAGAUGAUAUGCACGCAACCAUCAUGGAUUUUUUCAAUACUGGAAAAAUCUUGAAAGAAACUAAUGUUACUUCCAUCACCCUCAUUCCCAAAGUAAGUGUUACAACUUAUGUUAGUGACUUCAGAGCUAUUUCUUGUUGUAAUGUGCUCUAUAAUUUCAUCUCUAAGCUCAUGUGUGAGAAGUUAGGGUCCGUGCUCUCUGAUGUGAUUUCCCACAACCAAGGAGCUUGUCUUUGGUAGAUCAAUCCUCCACAAUGUGAUGUGUGACAAGACAUCAUCAAAAUGUAUAGGAAAAGCCAAAAACAUGCCAAUUGUUUUAUGAAGUUGGACCUUAAAAAGCUUAUGACACUGUGGAAUUGGAGUUCACUGCUGAAAUAAUGACUGAUCUUGGUUUUCCUGUGCAUCUUAUUAAGAUAAUCAUGACUUGUCUCUCCACAACUCAAUACUCUCUCCUUCUCAAUGGUGUCCACACUCAGAUUAUUCACUCAAAAAGAAGACUCAAUUAAGCAAGGAGAUCCUUUGUCCCUACUGAUGUUCACUCUGUGUAUGGAGUACUUCUCCAGAGCCAUGAUCACUGUUGGUGAACAUCCGAAGUUCAUGUUUCACUCUAGGUGUAGAGACAUGGUGCAGUGGCUUGGGAGAAGCUUUGCCUUCCUAAGUCUCAAGGUGGUCUUGGUUUUAGGAAUCUCUUAUUUUGGAACCAAGCUACAGUGGCUCAACAAGCAUUGAGGUAUAGCCAAGAAACAUGACAACUUAUGGGUCAAAUGGGUUCACUCGGUGUAUGUGAAAGACAAAGAUUCAGUCCAGUUCACUGCUCCUAAAGCUGCUAGUUAGGUGGUGAUGUUUGUGUGUAAAGUUAAAACUAUCUGUAUUGAUAAGUUUGAUAAGGUUCAGCUAGUUCAUUGGCUCACUGCACCAAAGUAUGCUAUCAAGGAGAUGUAUAAUCUUCUCAGAGAACAAGGAAAAAGUCCCAUGGCAACAGUAUGUUUGGAACAGGUUCUUUGUUCCUAAAUACAGAAUAUGGCUCACAACGAUGAACAAGUUAAAAACAAAAGUUAGACUGCAUUAACUUGGCAUUGAUGAUGACACCCUUCGUGCAGUAUGUGGCACCUAUCCUGAAACUAUUCCACAUUUGUUUUUUGAAUGUACUUUUAGUACUAAAUGCAGGAAGAUAAUCAUGACUUGGCUGGGGUUUCACUCCAACAAAAAGUCAGUUUCUCCCCUACUAAAUUGGGUUCAGAGGUACACUAAAGGAAGAUUCAAAAAGACUUUAAGUUACACUGCCAUUGCUAGUCUUGUUUACGAUAUUUGGAAAUCAAGGUAUGCAGCUGUUUGGUCCAUGAAAGUGCCAACUGUCAAAGCUACUACCCAGCAGAUUCAGUAUGAGGUUAAACAUAGGGUUCAACAGCUAAUGAGUGUUAAAACUUUGUAAUAGGGAUAGGGAUUGGAUCCACACUUUGUAGUGGCCUUCUCUAGGGUUGGUAAGGCUAAUUGUUUUUUUUUUUUUUGGGGGGGUUCUACUACGAGGAGUUCCCACCGCCUUCGGCGAGUGGACUAAUAUAUCCCCGCGGGAGUUUGCAUGGCUACCUCGAUAGACAGCAUCCCUCCUAGUUGAGAUUUUUUCCAUUCAUAAGGCUCGAACCCAAGACCUUGGUUAAGGAGCAAGAGACCCUUAACCACUCAUGCCAACCUCAAUUGGUGGUUAGGCUACUUGUUGAUAGCCUUUUUGUUAUUUGGGCUCCCUUGGUUGUUGUUUUGGCUCUAAGGGUGUUCUUUUAGUGUGUAAUGGUUCAAAGUGAUUAAUAUAUUUCCUUUCUA